AAAAAGGCGGAGAACGAAAAGAGUACCGUUUUGCCGGGAUACAGAGAGAGGAUGCCGGAGGCUGGAAGCAUCCUUAUCCGCGGGAACCGGGAAAGUGCAUUCGGGAGCCGGCGGUGCGAAGGCCCUUUUACCGGGCGGGAGUGCCGCACGUACCAGGCGUUAACGGUGUAAGGGGAGGCCCCGGAUUUCGGGGCGUCAAACAGAGUGGAACCGCGGAUAACUUCGUCUCUUUU
rnacentral:ncRNA from 1 species